rnacentral:rRNA from 1 species
AGAGAUAGAGUUUUCCUCUUCGGAGGACAAAGUGACAGGUGGUGCAUGGUUGUCGUCAGCUCGUGUCGUGAGAUGUUGGGUUAAGUCCCGCAACGAGCGCAACCCUUGAACUUAGUUGCCAUCAUUCAGUUGGGCACUCUAAGUUGACUGCCGGUGACAAACCGGAGGAAGGUGGGGAUGACGUCAAAUCAUCAUGCCCCUUAUGAUUUGGGCUACACACGUGCUACAAUGGACAAUACAAAGGGCAGCGAAACCGCGAGGUCAAGCAAAUCCCAUAAAGUUGUUCUCAGUUCGGAUUGUAGUCUGCAACUCGACUACAUGAAGCUGGAAUCGCUAGUAAUCGUAGAUCAGCAUGCUACGGUGAAUACGUUCCCGGGUCUUGUACACACCGCCCGUCACACCACGAGAGUUUGUAACACCCGAAGCCGGUGGAGUAACCAUUUUGGAGCUAGCCGUCGAAGGUGGGACAAAUGAUUGGGGUGAAGUCGUAACAAGGUAGCCGUAUCGGAAGGUGCGGCUGGAUCACCUCCUUU